GGCCACGGCAGCGUUGUCGUGGAGACCCAGGGAGGCUGGGUAUCGGCCGAGCAUUUGGGAGGUGGGGCCUCCGGGGCUCUAGAAGCUGGAAAGCGACGAGGAGGAGGAGGAGGAGACAAAGCAAGAGUUCUGCGCCAGGAGUGCAGGCUACGUCUCCUUGACUACGGAUUGCAUUUUUUUUUCUUGUCCUCCCUCUCCACCCCGGCAGAACUUAAGGAUCGAUGUCGGUGCCAGGAAUCAGGACGUUUGGAGCAGGGCCUGGGAUUCUGCAUUUCUCACGGGUCCGUGGAUGCUGCCAAUGCUGCCUCCCAGGGCCCAGCUAUGUCUGGGAGUAGAGAUGAAAGUUGAGCAUGUUCCUCUAAGCAAAGCACCCAGCAGAAUGUCUAGGACAUGACGAAAACUCAGGAAGUGGCUGUUGAUGAUCAUGCUGCAGCUGUUCCUGUCACUGGGCCUAGGGUCACACCCUCAGGAGGAAACCAUGAGGAAAGCUCUAACGGGCUCCCCAGUGGGAACUGCAGCCCAUGCCCCCCACCAGAGACCUCAGACUUUCUAGAUGACUACGGAGCUAUGUGGCUAUUCCCCUCGUCCACCACUCAACCAAUGUAGAAUCCAAAACGGGGCUUUCCUGGAAGACGUCUAGAGAGACUCACUCACUCAAGGGAAGGAAGAGUGGAACACCCAGACCUCAGGAAGGUUAGGCAGAGAGGAAGCAGCCAAGCCUACGGCCUGGGCACAGAACGCAGCUGGGAAAGUGUUUCUCUCCAGCUCUCACCUCUCUGUGAGGCUUCAUCGUCUCCUCCUGCAGAAUGGCUUCCUCCCCAUGGUGCAAAACAAGGCUGCCGUGAGCUUUCUAGCCUCUCACAUCUCGGCAUCUGUGCCAUAGCAGUGGACUCUCCAGAGAGAGGGAUCCAGAGAGAGCCACUGAUGGGCCAAGUUGGGUGGGACGGUGCUGUUAUAGCCACGUUCGAUUCUCUCCAGACUUACCGACACCCCCUCCACCCAAUUUUAUUCGGUCUCAAGGAUUUAAAUUCCAUCUAGAUGCUGAUGCAUCCCUGAAAGGGAGCUUUGCCGUUUUUACUGCCUAGCAUCUGAAAACUGUAAUAGUUAGGGAAGAGUGAAGCUACUGUAAUAAAUCCACAGAUGGUAAUGGCACAUCACAUUAGAGGGGUACUUCUUUUUUCCUUAAAAACAUUUUAAAUUGUAGAAAGACAUAUAAAUAUAUAUAACACAAAAUUAAA